CCGCAGCCGCAACGCCACCCGCAGCCUCAGCCCCAGCCGUAGGCACAGCCACCGGCACAACCACAGCCCCAGCUCCUGCUGCAGCUCCUCCAGACACCGUCCCUACGCCGACAUCCUGGAGGUUGGGAUGCUCUUGUCCAAAAUCAACUCUCUUGCCCACCUGCGCGCCGCGCCCUGCAACGACCUGCACGCCACCAAGCUGGCGCCCGGCAAGGAGAAGGAGCCCCUGGAGUCACAGUACCAGGUGGGCCCGCUCCUGGGCAGCGGCGGCUUCGGCUCGGUCUACUCAGGCAUCCGUGUCGCCGACAACUUGCCGGUGAGUGGGCGGCCCACCGCGGGGAGGGAGCGCCGGACGGGGGGCGCACGGGUGUGUUUGGCCCGGGCGAGGGAACCUAACGCUCUCUGGGGGGCUUUCCAGGUGGCCAUCAAGCACGUGGAGAAGGACCGCAUUUCAGACUGGGGAGAGCUGCCUAAUGGCACCCGAGUGCCCAUGGAAGUGGUUCUGCUGAAAAAGGUGAGCUCGGGCUUCUCCGGCGUCAUUAGACUCCUGGACUGGUUCGAGAGGCCCGACAGUUUCGUCCUGAUCCUGGAGAGGCCCGAGCCGGUGCAAGACCUCUUCGACUUUAUCACGGAAAGGGGGGCCCUGCAGGAGGAGCUGGCCCGCAGCUUCUUCUGGCAGGUGCUGGAGGCCGUGCGGCACUGCCACAACUGCGGGGUGCUUCACCGCGACAUCAAGGACGAGAACAUCCUUAUCGACCUCAAUCGCGGCGAGCUCAAGCUCAUCGACUUCGGGUCGGGGGCGCUGCUCAAGGACACCGUCUACACGGACUUCGAUGGGACCCGAGUGUAUAGUCCUCCAGAGUGGAUCCGCUACCAUCGCUACCAUGGCAGGUCGGCAGCCGUCUGGUCUCUGGGGAUCCUGCUGUACGAUAUGGUCUGUGGAGAUAUUCCCUUUGAGCACGAUGAGGAGAUCAUCAGGGGCCAAGUUUUCUUCAGGCAGAGGGUCUCUUCAGAGUGUCAACAUCUCAUUAGAUGGUGCUUGGCCUUGAGACCAUCAGAUCGGCCAUCCUUCGAAGAAAUCCAGAACCAUCCAUGGAUGCAAGAUGUCCUCCUGCCCCAGGAAACUGCUGAGAUCCAUCUCCACAGCCUGUUGCCAGGGCCCAGCAAAUAGCUUCUCAGGAGGCAGCAGAUGGAGUUAUUACUGCCCUUGGCUGAGGUGAUCUGGGAAGGCUUCAAAGAGGAGGCAGCAUUUCAACUGGACUUUGAAGGGUGAACCUCAGUUUGUUCACCUGUAAAAAGUGAGGCACAGAACAUACAGGUAAAGCAAAUAAAUCCAGAGGGGCUAAUGUUUUUCCCCCCAUUAGACCAGGGAGGGACAAGCCACAACCUGCUGACCGAGUCUGGCACACUACCUGGUUUUGCACGGCCUGUAAGCUAAGACUUGUUUUAACAUUUUAAAUGGUUGAAAACAGACUGAGUGAGGAAUAAUAUUUCAUAAGACGUAAAGAUUAUGUGAAAUUUAAUUGUCAGCAUUAAGAAAUAAAGCUCAUCCAUUUACGGAUUGUUUAUGACUGCUUUCAUACUGCAAUGGCAGAGUUGAGUAGUUGUGACAAAGACCUUAUGGCCAAAAAUAUUUACUAUCUGGCCCUUUACAGAAAAAAGUUUGCAAAUUCCUGCACUAGACCAUGGUCUCAUUGAUUCAUCUGCAUCUUUCAUAACACUUGGCGAUAAUAGCUAACACUUAUUCAGUACCUACCAUGUGCCCAGCACUGUUUUGCAUGCUUUGCAUGUCUUAGUCUUACAACAACUCUCCAUGAGGGAGAUAUUAUUAUUUAUCCCCAUUUUGCAGGUGGGGAAAACUGAGGUGCAGAGCAGUAAGUACUAUGUCAAAAGUCACGUACCUAAGAAGUGGCCAGGUUAGAAUUUGGACCCAGGUGGUCCAUGCUCACUACCACUCUGCUAUACUGCUACUUAAUAAAUGUUUGUGUGGAUUAGUCAUCUCAAGUUUCCUUCAGGGCCCAGAAUCUGGGUGGACGUCAAGGCAGUUCUUCCCCAGACUCCAGAGUGUCAGGGCCUCCCAUGGACUGAACUCAGCUGAAAGUCAGAAGGCAGGGAGUCUGGUGUGAGGCAGUCCACAUAGGUCAGCCUUUCCAGGCACAGAGCAAGCUGGAGAAGGGUGGGGAACAGCUCUGGAGGCCAAGGGAAGACGCCCAGCAUGGUCGCCGCUGUAAUGUGCUUCCUCCCCUGGCUUCACGGACCAUCUUCUUCAUGGUGAUUGCCACAACUCCUGCAUAGACCUCUCUCCUGAGUUCAGGCCUGGGGAUCAAUAGCCUCCUAGAUACCACUGCCCAGGGGCUCCCAGGAACCCAGGAACUGCAUAUCACUUGAGUGCCUGCAGGAAAAUGAUCGAGACCUUCCCAACCCCUGAAUUCCACCCUGCCACUGCUCACCUCUCAGCUCCGCUCGUGAAGUUCCUUAGAGACACAGAUGCCCACACAUUUUCUAAGUGAAAAGAAUUUUUUUGCUUAUAAAAAUGGUACAAGCUUUUUAGUAAAAAUAAUGGUAUGAAGUGAAUUAAAGUUAUAUGAUGUAAUUCUACCACUCCAGAGAGAAAUACUUUUAGCACAUCCAUAUUUAUAUUUAAAUAUGUAUAUAUUUAUAUGUACACACAUAUUAGCUAUAUAUAAUUUUAUAGAACAGAGCUCAUAUUUUUGGUAACCUGUUUUUCCCCCACUUAACAAUGUACUAUUGAAAUGCUUCCAUUUCAAGAACUAUGGACAAACAUAAUCAUUUUGAUACGGCUACAGUAUGGGUGUACAUUAUUAAUUUUGGUACUUUGUAAUUUUCUGACAUUAUAUAUGAAAUAUUCUGUUACCUGAUACGGCUUUGGGCAAAGAUGAAUUGUUGCCUAUGUCAACAUCUAUUAUUCUUUUCUUUCCUUGGUCAUAGAACCUCUGAUUUUUUAGCUAGUCAUAUGGCCUUUCUUAAGAAUAAAGACUAACUCCCUCAGAUUCCCUUGCAGCUAGCUGUGGACACAUGACAAAGCUCUGCCCAGUGAAAAGGAAGCAAAAGUGUUUUAGGAGCAGAUUCCAAGGAAAUUCCUUAAGAGACAUCUGGUAUGUACCCUUCCCCUUUGGAUGGAAGGAGGAGCUAUUAUGGGAAGAGGGUCAUGUGGUUGCGGGGAGGGGAUACAUGCAGAGUAAGCAAAAGUAAAAAGCUCCCUCAGGCCACUCCAUUAAUCCAAGCCCUCAUCACUAUCAUUUUAUUUUAUGGCAAGCUUUUACUAUUUCACCAGAAAAAUAUUUUCCCCUUAAGUGAGUGAUUUUUUUUAAAUGUAUGGUGUCUUUAAGUAUAUUUCAUUGUAUCUUGGAGACCAGUGUCUGCCCUCUCACGCCCCUGAUGACACAUCUCUCCAAUUUUAUAAUACAAGGAAGUCAGUUAAAAAGUGAAAUUUGAUAUCAAGCCAAGUCUCAUUUA